rnacentral:pre_miRNA from 1 species
AAACAGCCCCCUAUGUUUUGAUUCUUUGGCAGUUUUGGACCCCAAGGCAAAAAAAAAUAAAAAAAUUGACACGUGGCACCUCAUUUAGGGUGCCACGUCAGCGUUGACCGAGUCAACAAUGGACUGGGGGUCCAAAACUGCCAAAGAAUCAAAACAUAGGGGGCUGUUU